rnacentral:rRNA from 1 species
CUCCAGACUCCUACGGGAGGCAGCAGUGGGGAAUAUUGCACAAUGGGGGAAACCCUGAUGCAGCGACGCCGCGUGAGUGAAGAAGUAUCUCGGUACGUAAAGCUCUAUCAGCAGGGAAGAAAAUGACGGUACCUGACUAAGAAGCCCCGGCUAACUACGUGCCAGCAGCCGCGGCAAUACGUAGGGGGCAAGCGUUAUCCGGAUUUACUGGGUGUAAAGGGAGCGUAGACGGCAGCACAAGUCUGGAGUGAAAUCCCGGGGCUUAACCCCGGAACUGCUUUGGAAACUGUGCGGCUGGAGUGCAGGAGGGGUAAGCGGAAUUCCUAGUGUAGCGGUGAAAUGCGUAGAUAUUAGGAGGAACACCAGUGGCGAAGGCGGCCUGCUGGACAGAAACUGACGUUGAGGCUCGAAAGCGUGGGGAGCAAACAGGAUUAGAUACCCGAGUAUA